rnacentral:lncRNA from 1 species
UGAUUGAUGACAUGAGUAAAUAGUAUGAAGACAAUUACCUCUUGGUCCUUAUCUGUGUCUGCGGUUCCUAUCCCCAGCCUUGCCAGGUGCAUUCCAGGGAGCGCUGCACGGGGUCCUGACACUGAGCCAGCUGGAGGAGGCAGUCAGGGGAACCAUGCGCCGCGGGGGAUGCACCGCCAGUAGGGCCUCAUUCAUAGGGGCCUGUUUUGGAGCACAGACAGGUCUUCAGGGAAUCCCAGAGUCUUGGAAGAACAGGACCCUCAAAUAUCCUGUGCUGCUGGGACUGGCUAAGAAAGUUGUAGACUCACAGCAAGCCUAGAUUUGGCACAUCGUGUUAAAGGCAGUUAUGCAAAUGUAUAUUACUAAAUGAAUGUAUUGCUAAAGCUGAUUAACAUAACCAGUCCAACAUAUUAUUAGGGAAUAUGAAUUAUGUAUUGAUGUCUUUUUUUUACAAUUGCUUUGUAAGCCCAUUUUAUAACACAGUUGUACUUUGACAAAACAGUUUAUGAAAGUUACAUUCUAAAGUAACAUUUGACAGAUGUAACUUGAACCUUGUUGCUCUGUCAAAGCUGCAGUAUGUUGCAAAAUGAUGAGUAUAUGAAAUCUGGAAUAUUCUUGUCAUGUAUACAUUAGGAUUAAAAGAGGAAGGAAACUCGUGGUCCAUUUUUGAGGUAACUGAGUAUGUCAAAUGAAUUAACACAGAAUCUAAACUAGAUGAGGAAGAUUACAAAUAGCAUUUGUGUGUUGUAGUGCUUGCAUGUAUAGGAAAUGAUUAACUUAUCACAUAUUGCAGUUGUUUACUUUAACUUAGCUACAGCUCUGAAAUACUGUCUCUAUGGUUUUGGGUGGUUUUUGAGUUGAAAUAACCUCUGCUCUGGUUAGAGAAACUGAGGGCUUGCAAUAAUUUAAAGAACAGAAAUGUAUUUUGCAAAAGAGGAAAUGAAUUUCAGCAAGUUUCAAUACUCUAUCUCUUUCUCUCUCUGGCAUGGGUUCUGUUGAAGUGAAAUAACAGAGACACAAAGAUUUACCGUGCUGAAACAACUGAAGGGACUGCAACUUAUCCCUCCCUCAAAGGAGUUAGUCUGUUUUCUUAAAACUGCUGACUUCCAUAUUACCAUGUUCUCAAUGGCUCCUCUGAUGAUUUUGAAUAUACUCUCUGCAUAAAAUGAAGCCAUUAUCUUAAUAUCUUUGACAUGGAGUGUGGUUAUGAAAACAGGAAUAUAAGACGUAAUGCAGUGUAAAGCCUUUCAUUGGUUUGCAUGGCUCUGGCUAUACGAUGUGGUGAAAGUUGACUAGUAGACGUUAUAAUUUAGGGCAGUAUACCUGAAUUACAUUAUAUGCACUUGUAAAAUCAUAGAUAGUGACUUUGCUAACAUCGACUACUACUUAUUUAUGCGGCUGGCAUAAUUUAAAACAGCUACAUUGCUCUCUCUAACCGGAGGCCAUGGCUAGUCAGAUCAGCAUUCAAAACUACAACCUGUUAAUGGCUUAUUAAGUUUGCUUAAACUGCAUAGGCCUACAUUACAAGAGUCCAGCCUUAAACAAUGUGUACAUUUCAAUCUGUAUAAGUCGGAUAACCAUAGGAGACUCAAUACCUAUGUGUACUGACAAAGUAGUGACAGCACAUUUUACUUUAAGGCUACUUCAUCAUUACAUUUUCCUCUUGUAUUGUUUUGUAUGUUAAAUAUUUCACUAGGUGUGUUAUGGUAAACUCACUGCUAGUCAUCAGUGAACUGAGGCAACACAACAC